UUCCACAGCAACCAAAUAACAAACUUUACUGAUGCAUUGUUGGAGACUGUUUACUGGCAUCGUCUAAGAAGCAGCUACAAGACAAGGACGUGAACCAGCACAGACGAACACAUAACACUUCUGAUAUAUUAUAUUAAGAAAGCAUGGGACAGAUAAUAUAUUCAAACUGUCCCUGUUGCGACAACGAACCAAGUCAAGUAGCAGCUGUGAAGGAAGGCUCCGUUACGAAAUUGCUGGCCGUGUUUAAAGAACUCGAUCGUGUCUACGCAAGUGCGAAAGGUUACUCCGUGGACGAUAUCGCUGGUUAUAUGCGUAAAAACUUACAUACUACAGGAGACGUUGAAUCUCAAGUUACAACCGCUCUGAAUAUUGCCCUCAGCAAACGGCUGAUUGGACGCAGAUAUCGCCGAUAUAUUUUCGUCGGUCCCAUUGCUAGCAAGAUGAAGUACAAUGCGCCCAAACCACGAGUGCGUUUUCGUCGGCCUGUAAGCGGGAAAAACAAAAGAAACAGAAGACUGGACAUCUCAGAAAGGUCACCAGCACACGAAAGACGCGGUGCAUCUAAAACUGAUAUAAUGGACAGAGAAGAUGAAUGUGUUUGUCGGUGCCAUAAUCCUGAUGGUAAUGGUGUGGAUAAUACCGAGAGCUUAUCAGUACAACAACAGUCCUCAAGUAGCAAACUCUUGUAUAAUUUUAUUAGAUGUGAACACACACACACACACACAGUGUCCAGAGAAAAUAAAAUUAUAAAUGAGAAAUGAAGAAAAUUAUAUUUUGGCAGAUAUAUUCUUUUUCAUAAAUUUAAAAUACAUCUGGGGCAGCAAAAAGUUAAAGCUAGGAGAGAUUGCGCGGUAGAAGAGUUUGCGCAUGUCUACAUUCAGGUGGAAGGGGUAAAAUGCGCGCGCAGCAACGUGAGGAGCAGUAAUCACUCCACUCGUAGAGGCUUCAGUUGAAUUUACGUGUCGAUGCAUGCGGUUCUCUGUGUUUUAUUGCCAAUUUUCUGCUUGUUCUGUAGAAGGCAAGUGCUUGAAAUUUCAGGAAUGUUUCGUAUAUUUUCAUAAGAAAUGUUUCACCUCUAAAUUACUGCAAAUAAAGUAAUUUCUAAGUUAGUUCUUUGUUGAGACUAGUGUUUCAUGCCGUUGCGAGUCACUGUGGAAAUUUUCAUACCGACCACGUGGGUGCGCAAUCUUUCCUACCCAGUGAGGAUAGUUUGCGCUGGAUUUUCAUUUGUUUCAAUGGGAGGAGAGAUUAAAAUAAACUUGUUCACUCAAUUAAUUGCAAAAUCAAACAAAAAUGAAGUAUGUUCUUUGUGUUUUCAUCUUAUCUACUGUGUUUAUCUGUAUUUUACCUAAGUUGCUGAAUAAAAUUGCAUAAAAUGAAACAUUCAA